UUACUUUAUCAUCUAUUUUGACAUUUCCUGCAGAGGACUUCUUUUGGAUUUGAUAUCCAUUUUGUACACUCAAAGCACCAGCAUUCUCUAUGCCUGCAUCUUUGUUAGGCCCAUCCCUGGCAUUGCUAUUAAAGAUAUUCAUAUUUGCUUGUUGUGAAUUGCUUGAUAGUAGCCCAUUCUCACGUUUUGCCAUCCCUGGCAUUGCUAUUAAACGUAUUCAUAUUUGCUUGCUGUGAAUUGCUUGAUAGUAGCACAUUCUCACGUUUUGGCUUCUCAAGAAGAAUGGUCCACCUUAGAAGAAAUUUCUGGGUA
rnacentral:lncRNA from 1 species